rnacentral:rRNA from 1 species
GUCUACGGCCAUGCCACCCUGAACAUGCCCAACCUCGUCUGAACUUGGAAGCUAAGCAGGGUCGGGCCUAGUUAGUACUUGGAUAGGAGACCACCUAGGAAGACUAGGUGCUAUAGGCG